rnacentral:lncRNA from 1 species
AGUGCGGACAGGAAUGAAGCAUUGCUGAGUGUGCAGAAAGUAACUCCACAUGGAAGCUACCCUUUUUAUAGUUUCUUCUUCUGGAAAAUAUGUGUCAGCUUCCUCUGCGUCUCUCUGACUAUCACGUUCAUCAUAAACUUUCUGUUGUGUUAUGUGAAACAAUACCAGCACCUUCUGCUUGAAACAGAUAAAAAUGACAGGAUGAAAACCUGAUUCUGAGAAAAAAAACCUUCGGUUCAUUUGCAGAAUAGUAAAACAAUUUCAGCUGCUUCAAAGAUAAAAAUAUUGGAACAAAGAACACAUUUCUUCAUUUUUAUACAGAAUAAUUUUGAGUAUGCAAAUCUUUGAACGAGGCUCACAAUAAAAUUAACACCAUUAACUGAC